AAAGAAAAUCAUGAAUUAAGAAUAUAAUGAUGACCAUGAAUUCAUUGCCAAAUGUCAGAAAAACUCACCUGGUUCACUGAUGUGCUUUAGGGAAGGAAACUGCCACCCUGACAUGAUCUGGUCUAUAUGUGACUGCAGACCCAUAGCAACAUGCUUGACUUUGAACUGUCCCCUGGGCAAUUAGGGAUGGACAAUAAACACUGCGUAGCUAGUGAUGUCCUCCUCCCAUUAACAAAUAAAUAAAAUUGGAUUCUACAUCUUCCGAUCCAAGAUCGUUUCUUGCUCUCAGACUAAUUUCUUCGCUUACAGUCACUUUCCCUCCUGCCUGUCUUUUUGGAAUGUCGUAUAGCCCUGCGCACUUAGCUCCAGUGUUGAUCUCCUUGUCACCAUGUCUUUGUAAUAGCUAUAAAAUCAUGCCCGUCAACCUAGAAAUGUGCUUUAAUUUGUUGAUUUUGUUCUGAAUACAAUGAGCACGCAAGCAAAGAGCCAUGAAUUUCGCUUUAUCACUUGAUUUCACCUCUUGACACUAUUUACAGCUGUUUUCUGUUUGUACAUGCUGUCUUUUCCAGUACCACGCUGAGUAUUGUUAUCCCGAUAGUUCUUUCGUAUCAGUCCGUGUGUAUUCCUGGGCGAAUGUGCUCGUGUGGUCUCAGGAGUUGCGGAGGUCACGGCUCUGGGACAGCCGUUUCAUCGCCCUAUGCUGCAGGAAAAAAGCAAUGAAAGUGCCGUUAAUUUUUUGCAUGGCGAGCUGCUGCAUACUAACCGGUCUCACACCAUUACCAACACCUUGCCCUUGUGAAGGCAGAUAUGGAUAAGGUUCUCAAAGCUGAUAGAAGAUUGAAACCACUCUAAUCCUGUGACGAUGAACCUGCCCCGGAAGAGAGAGCCCAGAGAAUUGCCAAAGCUGUCCGCAAACAGUCAAUAGAAGUGAAGGAAAAUUGGGAACAACUGAAAAUCCGUGCGAGCAACUGGCAGAAACAGGUGGAAAAGACGUUGGAGAAACUUCAAGAACUGCAGAAAGUUCUGGAUGAUCUUGAGGCUCAUGUGAUAACAGCUGAGGGGGUCCACACUGAUUGGCAACCUGUGAGUGACCUGCUUAUUGACUCAUUGCAGGAUCACUUUGAUAAAACCACAGGUAAGGACUAUCUUCAAAAUCUGAGAUUGGGUUUUGAAAGACAGCAGCCUUUGUUUUGGAGAGAUAAUGGGAACUGCAGAUGCUGGAGAAUGCGAGAUAACAACGUGUGGAGCUGGAUGAAGACAGCAGGCCAAGCAGCAUCUUAGGAGCACAAAAGCUGACGUUUCGGGCCAAGAACCACCUUCAGAAAAUGGGGAGGGGGUGCGGGUUCUGAAAUAAAUAGGGAGAGAGGGGGAGGCGGGUGGAAGAUGGAUGGAGGAGAAGAUAGGUGGAGAGGAGAGUAUGGGUACGGAGGCAGGGAGGGGAUAGGUCAGUCUGAGGAGGCCGGUCAGGUCAAGGGAGCGGUAUGAGGUGGGAGGGGGGAUGGGUGAGAGGAAGAAUAGGUUAGGGAGGCGGGGACGAGCUGGGCUGGUUUUGGGAUGCAGUGGCCGGACAGGAGAUUUGGAAGCUUGUGAAAUCCACGUUGAUAACAUUGGGCUGCAGGGUUCCCAAGCAGAAUAUGAGUUGCUGUUCCUGCAACCUUCGGGUGGCGUCAUUCUGGCACUGCAGGAGGCCCAGGUUGGACAUGUCCUCUCGGGAAUGGGAGGGGGAGUUGAAAUGGUUAGUGACUGGGAAGUGCAGUUGUUGAUUGCAAACUGAGCGUAGGUGUUCUGAAAAGCGGUCCCCAAGCCUCUGAAUCGUUUCCCCAAUGUAGAGGAAGCCACAACGGGGACAGCGGAUGUUUUGGAUAUUUCUUCAGCUUGAUUUUCAUUCAGAGUUGGUUGGAUUUUGCUGAAGCAAUAGACAUAACUCACUAUGACGUAGACAAUGUCAGAGUUAAUGUUUCGCGUCCUGUGACCCUUCCUCAGAUCUCACUCUUCACUGAUGCUGCCAGACCUGCUGAGCUUUUCCAGCAACUUCUGCUUUUGUUGUUGAUUUACAGUGCCCACAGUUUUUUUGUAUUUUACGACACAGACAAAACUUGAUCUCUGCAGGAAGCAUGAUGCUGCAUUCUCCAACUUCCCUGCCUUUUUGUAAUAUAAUAUUGUCUUUUUAGGACAGAAGUGGCUUUUUUUUUGUUUGUUUAAACUUCCGCACAUACUUUCUAUGCAGGUUAAAAGUCUACACCUUUUCAGUUCUCUGCUGCAUAAUGAAGACUUGGAACAAUUUUUUUUAUAAAGUAGAAAAUCAGUGUGGUUUGUUUUCCAAAAUGUGAUGUGUAAGUGCAACACUUAACAGUGUGUUCAUCAAACUGUUGUUUCCUUUGAUCUUUGUGUUGCAGAAAUUUCUAGAAUCAUUUCAUAUAUUUUUUUUGAUAUAUUUUAGCAGCUUUCCUGGAGCAAGUCUGUUUUCCUUCGGAUGAGACGACUUUCAGACAUACUCCCUUUAUUAUGAGAUUUAAUUACGGUAAAAUCUGGAGGAUUUUUAUUCACUGAGUCACAAAGGACUAUAUGUUUUAAGCAUUGGAAAAUGCAUUCUGUUCUGACUGUCAUGUUAUCUGGUGUUUGUACCAGGCUUUCCGAUUAAAUGCAAGUGAUUAAGGAUGCUAAUGAUGCCACAUGUUAUUACAAGAGGAAAUGAACAUACAAGUAAGGAUUUUAUGCCACAUUUAUGCAUAGCAUGGACCAUGCAGCAUGGAUGCAGUGACUGAGUGAAAUGGGAUGCAGUGACUGAGUGAAAUGGGAUGCAGUGCCUGAGUGAAAUGGGAUGCAGUGCC